CAGCCGCCACGGUAACACCGAGGAUGCAAGCGUUAUCCGGAAUGAUUGGGCGUAAAGCGUCUGUAGGUGGCUUUUCAAGUCCGCCGUCAAAUCCCAGGGCUCAACCCUGGACAGGCGGUGGAAACUACCAAGCUGGAGUACGGUAGGGGCAGAGGGAAUUUCCGAUGGAGCGGUGAAAUGCAUUGAGAUCAGAAAGAACACCAACAGUGAAAGCACUCUGCUGGGCCGACACUGACACUAAGAGACGAAAGCUAGGGGAGCAAAUGGGAUUAGAGACCCCGGUAGUCCCUGUCUCUUAUAC
rnacentral:rRNA from 1 species